ACGGAGGGUGCAAGCGUUAUCCGGAAUCACUGGGUUUAAAGGGUGCGUAGGCGGUUUUAUAAGUCAGAUGUGAAAGCUCCCAGCUUAACUGGGAAACUGCAUUUGAUACUGUAGAACUUGAAUCACGUUGAGGUUAGCGGAAUGUGACAUGUAGCGGUGAAAUGCAUAGAUAUGUCAUAGAACACCAAUUGCGUAGGCAGCUAACUAGGCGUGUAUUGACGCUGAGGCACGAAAGCGUGGGGAGCGAACAGG
rnacentral:rRNA from 1 species